CCUACGGGAGGCAGCAGUGGGGAAUAUUGCACAAUGGGGGAAACCCUGAUGCAGCGACGCCGCGUGAGUGAAGAAGUAUUUCGGUAUGUAAAGCUCUAUCAGCAGGGAAGAAAAUGACGGUACCUGACUAAGAAGCCCCGGCUAACUACGUGCCAGCAGCCGCGGUAAGACGGAGGGGGCAAGCGUUAUCCGGAUUUACUGGGGGUAAAGGGAGCGUAGACGGCAGAGCAAGUCUGAAGUGAAAGCCCGCGGCCCAACUGCUGGACUGCUUUGGAAACUGCCCGGCUGGAGUGCUGGAGAGGUAGGCGGAAGUCGUGGUGUAGCGGGGAAAUGCGUAGAUAUUAGGAGGAACGCCAGUGGCGAAGGCGGCUUGCGGGACAGUAACUGACGUGGAGGCUCGAAAGCGUGGGGAGCAAACAGGAUUAGAUACCCCAGUAGUC
rnacentral:rRNA from 1 species